UUUCACUGUGUCCUAUAAGUUUGGACCUGCUCUCUCCUGGCGGGAUCUGGGUAAGAAGCGCCGUGGCACAGGAUCAGCUCCAGAUGCAGAGGGAAGCCAGAAGCCUUUUCCAGUGGUUUUUUCACAGAGAGUGUCCAAUCAGUUUCCAGUCAUUCAAAACUUCUGCAACUUUUGAAAUAAACCUUUUCCACGCUGAGGCUGUGGUGAAAUCUGUGAUCUCAAACACUUUGGACUCUGGCUCACUGUCUGCCUCCAUCUUGCAGAGCAGAACAUCAGCUUCUUAUGAGUUAUUCCAAUAGAAUUUUUGAAGAAAUGUAGAAGGAGCUGAGCCACCUGCUACUGUGGGGCACAUCGGACCAGUCACAAGUUGGGUGGCAGCACAGAAGGAGAAAGGACUGGCGAGAACUAACAUACUUGUGUCAGCAACUGUGGGCUCCAAACAUGCAGUACAGGCUUGCCCGAAGAUGAGUUCAAGUACAAACCAAGCUGCACAUGAGAAGCACAAGAUAAAGGAAAAACCUCCAGUUGACUGGUGAGACUAUCAGCAUUCCUUCCAUCCCAAGGUCAUGCUUCCUCAGCUACCUUCACCUCCCUUGGAGGAAACCUUCUCUUGGGAAACUAAUUAGUGUGCUUACACAAGGGGGCAAUCUCCUGAAAAAGAGAUCAGAGAGACUGCUGAGCAGUAGAGUGGGCUGUGUUCUCUCCUCAGUCAUCCAAUCAGCUCUCAGUCCAGGGCCUCAUCUGAGUAUAUAAAAUAGAC
ensembl:lincRNA Gm42931 predicted gene 42931